AUAUGGAUAAAGGUAGGUAGUGUAUGGGAUCCCACAUUACUUGGAAAUGAGAAGUUCUUGCUCUUUAUAAGGUUCUAAUGGGGCUCCAAUUGUAUCAUUGACUAGUCCUUUUGGAGUAUAAGCUAUGUGAUUUGGGUCUUCCAUUGGGGCGUUACAAAUGAAAGAGAGGGGGG